GUCUUCUUGAGUACCACGUUGACGACACCAGUUCUCGUCUGAUCACUGACGUUAAGCGACGUUGGGCGUGGUCAGUACUUGGAUGAGUGACCAUCUGAGAGAUCACGUGUUGAUGGUU
rnacentral:rRNA from 1 species